UACGGGGGGAGCAAGCGUUGUUCGGAUUUACUGGGCGUAAAGGGCGCGUAGGCGGCCACCGCAAGUCGAUUGUGAAAUCUCCGGGCUUAACCCGGAAAGGUCAACCGAUACUGCGGGGCUAGAGUGCAGAAGGGGCAACUGGAAUUCUCGGUGUAGCGGUGAAAUGCGUAGAUAUCAGGAGGAACACCGAUGGCGAAGGCAGGUCUCUGGGACGGUACUGACGCUGAGACGCGAAAGCGUGGGGAGCGAACAGG
rnacentral:rRNA from 1 species